GUAGGUGUUUUUCCUUUUACGGAAAUGAGGUAACUGAGGCUCAGGAGUUAGGGAACUCUGCUGAGAUUAGAACCCAGGACUCCAGAAAGUUCUUAACAUUUUACUUUGCUAGGAGAAACCUACAAGUGGAUCAGAGCUGACUAGAUCCACGUUCUACUCUCUUGGCCUUCUUCCGUGCUCACUGGAUAAACUAGGAGCGUUUGUGGAUGCCCCAUCUUAGGUCUGCAUUGUUCUGAGGAUUUCGUGAAUCAGAAUCUCUGAGAUGGGUGGAGAUGAAACGGGCUUGCCUGGUGUGAAAGAUCCAGGACAUUCAGGGCUUAUUGCUUACAGAGUGCUUUCACAAGCACUGUUCAUUGGAUGCUCACAACAGUCUUGAGAGUUGUGGGUCCUUCUGGCUGUGGCAUGUGGGACGCUGCCUCAGCGCGGCCACUGAGCGGCACCAUGUUCUCGCUGAGGACUCGAACCGGCGAAACCCCGGGCCGCCUGCAGCGGAGCCCAGGAACUUAACCACUCGGCCACAGGGCCGGCGCCAGAGUUAAAUUUUUUAUAAUAUUACUACUAUUGUCUUUUAAUAAAAGUAUAAUUUGCUUAUUUCAACAUUUCAGGCUGUCUUUCUUAGUUGUCUCCUCUUUACUAGGAAUAAUUAAUGUGUUCUGCUUUUAGUACAGCCUUUAGUCCAGGCUAGGAAGCAUAGUGGACAGGCGAUGCUGACCAGGGACCGGCUUCUCCAUUCACACACCAGUUG
rnacentral:lncRNA from 1 species